ensembl:snRNA U6 U6 spliceosomal RNA
UUGCUCACUGCAACAGCACACAUAAUAAAAUUGGGAGGAUAUAGAGAAGAUUAGCAUGGCCACUGCACGAAGCUGACAUGAAAAUUCAUGAAGCGUUCCAUAAUUUU